UCGCCUAUUGUAGUAAAUAAUAGGUUUAGCCUGCCCACUGAAAUUGAAGGGCCGCGGUAUUUUGACCGUGCAAAGGUAGCAUAAUCAUUAGUCUUUUAAUUAAAGGCUGGAAUGAAUGGCUGGACGAGGUAAAAGCUGUCUCUUAAGAAUUAAUUAGAAUUUAGCUUUUCAGUUAAAAGGCUGAAAUAAAGUUAGAGGACGAGAAGACCCUAUAGAUCUUAAUAAAGAUAUUUAGGUUUUAUAGCUGAGGUAUAAAUCUAUAAACUCUUUAUUUUGUUGGGGCGACAAGGAAAUAAAUUAACUUUCUUUAUAUUAACACAGAUUAGUGAAUUCAGGAUCCAUUAAUAAUGAUUACAAGAAUAAGUUACCUUAGGGAUAACAGCAUAAUCUUCUUUGAGAGUUCUAAUCGACGAGAGGGGUUGUGACCUCGAUGUUGGACUAAGGGUAAUUCUAGGUGCAGCAGCCUGGAGUUAGGGUCUGUUCGACCCAUAACACCUUACAU
rnacentral:rRNA from 1 species